ensembl:lncRNA
AGGGAAUAUGAGUCGGGGCGGGCGGGCGCGCGAAACACACACACAAACAAAAAAGUUGUGCGCGGCUUUGUUUUGACAAGGGGAAGGUUGCAUAGACUUUUGAAUUCCAUCGCCUCGCGCCCCUGCCUGUGAUUGGCUGAAGUACGUUUCAGCGCGCGCGAGGGAAGGAGUCUCCGCCAAUGAAAAGCCAGGACAGCUCAAGUGAUGCAGAUUGGUGCAGUUCCAAAAGACUACAGCUGGCCAUCAAAACACAGUUUCAAACUGCAUUAUCUGGCAUUGUCAGUAUUGGAAGACCAGACCAAUCCAUAUGCUGUACUGAUUUUGAAGGCCCAGAAGGAUGCUGUUCAUCUCUCGCAAACCUUGAAAGUAUUUGGAGGUUUUCCACACUGUCCGCUGAAGGUUUUUCCUUCAUAAAUGUGAAAACACAAAGGAGUCUGGAGCAGUUUCCUUCAACAUCAAGAACUCAGAACAGUGUGGCUUGUGCGAAGGCUGUUCUGAACGCUUCCCUAUCUUCCAUACAGCCCUGAUUUCUUUCCCCGAGCCCAAACUAUACCUCAAAGGACAUCAUUUUGGGACAGUUGAAAAUAUCCAGGCAGGUGCGAUGAGGGUUUUGAACAACUUCUCAAGUGAAGACUUCCUCCACUGAUACAGGGAAUGGAAACAAUGCUGGAAUUGCUGUAUUCAAUCACAAGGAGCCUGUUUUGAAGGGGAUGAACUGUAAUUGCAUGUAUGUUAUCGUUCAAUAAAACAUUAUCAUUGCUUUUAGGACAAAGCAUGUAUAGUAUUUUCAGGUUUCAGUAGCAUUCUGGCCAAGAGGAAGACCCGAUUAGCAAAAUCUUGCCCCAGAAAAAGGGUUCCAGAUUUUACCAAAAAGUGUUAUCCUGGAAAGCAUCCCUUACAUAAUACAUGGACCUACUCUACAUAUCAUCAUCUCUGGAAAGAUAAGUUAAAUGAGACAUUCCUGAAGUACUGAAAUCUGUUUUCUUCUGCUGGAAUAAACUAAGUCUAGAGAAUUUUUGUGACCCACCUUGGGUUCUAAUAUUGGGUAAAAAGUGGAGCAGAAGCAAGGACCCUAAUGUUAUUUGAUGUAUCCUCUGAAUGCCUGACUGGCUUUUAAAAUGGGUUCAAGGGUCCAAGAGGGAGUUAAAACAUAACUACAACAUUAUGGUCACAGGUCUGAUGCAAAAUAUUAUCCAUUGUGUUCUUUUCUGUGCGGAAUAAUAUUGCAUUUUGUAGAGAAUAGAUCAGAUAAAAUAGAAGGGUUAUUUUAAAAUACAAGGUGCAUAUGGGUAUUAAAUACAACCAAUUAGUCCUUUGCAUGAAAUAGGACUGGUCCUGGUCCAGUAUCACAUACAAAAUAUUUUUUUUUGCAAUGAAAUAAGACCUAAUGAGUUGAAACAAUGUUUGAUUUUGCAAGAAAAAGAAGAAACACAAUUUAAAAAAUCCGAAUUCCUAUUUGUGGAAAGAACAUUUAAGGCAUGGAACAAAACAGGUUUUGAAUUCUAAAGCUCUAAAUGAGUUAAGUCAUGUCUUUGAAUAUAAAGAUGAUUAAAAAGACAAUAUAAUUUGCAAAAAGAUAUUUACAAGUUUAGUCUCUUUCAUUUGGACAGUGAUUUUAAUUACUUGGACACGGGAGGGGGUGAAUAUAAAAGCCUACACUGUGUACUUUCUCCUUAAAUUGCAUUCCACUGUAAUUUUGUGCUGUUCAGUUCUUCUUUCGCCCCACUAAAUUUCUCUCUUUCUCUUUUUUGUUCUUUGCGAACCAGUGCUCAACAAUAUUCUAUCAGUCAGGUUUAAAAAUCCAGCAUUCCAGCCUUCAUUUAUUAUGCUUUCAUUUGCCAAAACUUUUCAAGUAAGGUUCCAAAUCCUUUGUGUAUAUACUUACAUAGCUUUCCAUAGAAUCAUCAGGCAUAAAACCCACUUCCAAAUGUUUUAUUUCAACCUCCUUCCCACUGUAUACCUAUUGGCUUAUAUGUCUUGUCAACACAACAUACACAGUUAAAGCAUGGUUAAGAAUAAGAAUCUAGGGAUCUGGGGCCCUUUCACACUAUACAACUAUAGCUCGCGAUUCCACUUUAACUGCUAUUGCCACACUGUACAGAAUAAUAGGAUUUACAGUUUAGGGAAGGGUAUUUAGGUUCGCCUUCCUGGCCUCAAAUUUGUGUCAGGCAGUCAUGUCAAUCUAAUCGUUUGCAAAGCAAAUCUGGUUUCUCCCAAAUCAGUUUAGAUAAGUCCAUAGUUCUGCAACUGGAUAGUGUGAAAGGAUUCCUAGCUUCAGGAGCUGAGUGGUACAAAUAUUUCAGAAAUGUAUUGCUGGUCUCUACAUUAACCAAGAAUCAGAUGGAGAUAAUAUGUUGGAUGCAGACAUAGUGAUACUGUUUGCUCUCCAUAACCACAGAUUCAAACCUUCCAUGGCUUGAACCUGUGAGGCUGACGGGACCAUGAGCAGGGCCUCAUCUGAUUAUCUUAAGCUUCGAGAUGGGUCAUAGCGGGAGACACAUUCGGACAAAUAAGCUGGGCCGGAACCGUUUAGAGCUUUAUAGGCUAAAGUCAGCAACUUGAAUUGUGCUCGGUAGCUAAUCGGCAGCCAGUGGAGCUGUCGUAACAGAGGAGUAGUACGCUCCCUGAACGCCGCUCCAGUAAAAUGUAUCCCACUUCCUUCUGCCCAUGACAUUUGUGCAUAUAUGUGCCUUCAAGUUAGAUGUCUUAGGACUCCAUGAAUUUUAUAGUAUUUUCCUAGGUAUCAGAUAUUCAGGAGUUGGCUACUUUUGCCUUUCUCUAACAUAGUCGCCAUUCAAAUCUAGGCACUUAUCAUAGCGAUGAAUGAGCUUGGCAACUCCUUCUCCAGAAAACUGCCGCUUGUGUCCUCAACGCAGCAUUUUGCUGAUGAUGUGCAGCUGCGGGAAGGGGUGACCGGCUGGUUGAGGAUGUAAGCGGCAGAGUUUUGUGGGGAAGGAGUUGCCAAGCUCAUUCAUCGCUAUGAUAAGUGCCUAGAUUUAAAUGGUGACUAUGUUGAGAAGUGGUAUUUGGGUGUGACUUUCAUCUGCAUAUGGUAAAUGUUUUCUCCUAUACUUUGUUCAUUUUUAAUUCCAAAACGUAAUCUACUUUCUGGAUAACCCUCGUACUUAGCAAUGCCUUCAGUGUAUUUAGCCCUCUAUUCAGUGGUAAAUCGAAUGCCCCCAAAACACUGUGUACAGAGAAUUCCCCUAUAAAGAAAUAACAAAGCCAAGCAUGUUUAAUGAAAUUAUCUAUCGCAUCAGAUUUUAAGGAGAGUUGUUAAAAUGUUGAUGAAUGAAUAUAGUAUAACAUGAUGAGUCAGGGACACUAAAAGUACCAAAUGGAUAGGUUCCACUAGAUACUACCAUAAGUACCAAGAUGCUUUACUUUAUAACCCAGUGUGAUUAAACUGCAUGAAAAUUAAGAUGUGAUAAUGCUACAGUAAAAUAAGUCUUAAAAAAUAAAGAGGCUUCUAACAAAACUACAGCAUUAAAACCUCAGAGGAAAUACUGAUGGGAGAUGUUUCUCGAAGGGCAAUCACGUAGGUACAACUUUCAUAUGGAAAUAAUUUGAAAAGGAGAACACUAAGGAGCAGUGUAGCUUUUGUUAAACCUAUCACUAUUGGGUGUAUUAUUGAUCUGCACACUGGCCAAUUCAUACAGUUGGAGGGAGAGUGUAAAUGUGGGUUGAGUAGAGUUCAACACAUGCUGAAAGAGUCAUAUAAUAGAUUAACCAUAUGUCCAAUGCAAUGCAGUUCCCAUCUCCUGUGACCAUUCAAGAUUCAUCCCCGUCUUCGGACUUUGGCACAUAUCAUCAUGGCAACCAAACCCAAGUAAAUGUUGAAUUUAAUAAAUUCCCUUCAGUUCACAGUAAAGAAUCAGGAAAAGGCUAAUAGCAGUCUGGGCAGCAGUUUCUGGAACUCUUAAUACCUGCUUUGUUAUUCUUGGCCUUGAAGUCUUGCUUUGCUCUGUAUUGCACUUUGCUGUUUUUGGCUCUGAGCUUUAUCUACCCGUUUAAGAUCAUGACUACCUGUUUGAGCAUAAGUUCAAUAUCUACAUUAUCUGGGACUGGAAAAAAAAAGUUCCUAUUUCUCCUAGGGAUGUAAAUAAGGUUUUGGGAAAUGUUAAUGACAAGAUUCUUAAAAAGAGGUGAUUAUCUUUGCAUUGUAAGGCUUACCUGUUUUAAAAAUGCAUGUUUUUAUUAUACAAAACACAGGUUACUUGCUUUAAAAACAACAUUUUCUGAAUAAAAAGCAACAUUUCAAUGCCUGUUAUUCUGUGCAGAAAAUUCUGAUUCCAGUGCAGAAAAUUGUAAUUUGUGUGCAAAGAAGAUGUCCUGAAUUCCAAAUAGCCUUCAAAAACUGCUCACAUUUAAUGGCUUUAACACAUGGAGAAAAAUGAUAAAAUUAUUAUAAACAUUAUUAUAAUGUAUACCCCCAGUUCCCCUAAUCACAUCUGCCUUGUCUUCCCCACAUUGUGGUUUCAAAUUUUAAUUUUCUUCCCACCCUAAAAUUCAAAGAAUGUAUACUACACUUUCCUAAUCUGUAAAACGAUUUGUACAAUUGAUCUAAUUCACAUCAGUUCCCCCACUGAGUCCCCUCUCCUCCUUCAAUGCUCCUUUGUUCCCUGAAUGAUGCAGAAUCCGGUAGUAUAGAGCAGGCGGUACCAGAAAAGGGAGUUCUGUCAUUUGGGGUGGGGAGUGGGGAGCAAAAAUGGGUUGCCAUCUCACCUCCUGUUGUACCCCAAGGCAGCGUGAGCACUGGAAACCAGACAGAGACCAAUAAUCAUAUAAUAUAUUUAUUAAAACAAUUAUAAAUUCAGGAAUGAAUAGAUGAAAAGGUUGAGCAGAUAAUAGUCCUUUAUGAAAAGGUAUGAAUUAGUCCAAAAUCUGAGGGGAAAUGUCCAAUAUUAUUGUCCAAAGUCCAGAAACCGAAACACGCUCAAAACUGUUGGAAAGUUCUUGAGCGAGGAACAACAAGGGAGCAAGACUGAAUAACGAAGUCUAAAGUCACUAGAAAGUUCUUGUUAUCAAAGCAGGAACAGGAUGAAGCUGAGGCAAAACUUGGUUCAGGAACAAAGCAAGGAAGUAGACUUAUUCCGGGUCUGCUUGGGAACCGCGGCUUGGCCGCAAAGAUCUGGAAACUUGGCUUGGAAGAAGCAGGAGCUAGAAUCGGUGAACCUUUCUCAGGAAAUAGCAACGUUGACACCGCAAAGUGUCCACAGUGUAAAACACUUUUAUGGAACCCAAAUUGAUCACAAACCAGAGAAGCCAAACUCCCUAAAAGUUCUCAAAAACCUUCUAUCCAUUAUCCCCUCGAGAUGCCAAGAGGUUACUCCUGCGGAAUCCUUGUUUUUCUAAUCUUUGGCGAUGCAGAAACUUCCUUCUGUUGAAG